AGAGGGUGCGAGCGUUAAUCGGAAUUACUGGGCGUAAAGCGCGCGUAGGCGGCUUUGCAAGUCGGGUGUGAAAUCCCCAGGCUUAACCUGGGAACUGCAUUCGAGACUGCAUUGCUAGAGUAUGGGAGAGGGAAGUGGAAUUUCCGGUGUAGCGGUGAAAUGCGUAGAUAUCGGAAGGAACAUCAGUGGCGAAAGCGACUUCCUGGACCAAUACUGACGCUCAUGUGCGAAAGCGUGGGGAGCAAACAGGAUUAGAUACCCUGGUAGUCCACGCCAUAAACGAUGACAACUGGAUGUCGGGAGGGUCUGCCUCUCGGUGUCGUAGCUAACGCGUUAAGUUGUCCGCCUGGGGAGUACGGCCGCAAGGUUGAA
rnacentral:rRNA from 1 species